GGAAGACUCUCGGGCCAGGGCAUGUUAGUUUCUUGUGACAUUUUAAGCAUUCUGGCUUUCAAAGUGCCAUUCAUGCGCUCUACCUUACCACUACUCUGUGGGUGAUAUGGUGUGUGGAAUGCAAGGGUCACCCCCAGUGCUGACCAGACUUCCCGUGUUAGCGAGGCAGUGAAGGAGGUCCCUUGGUCACUUUCAAUUACUUCUGGAACCCCAUAGCGGCAAACAAUUUCUGUCAAGAGAUACUUGGCUGUAGUCCUCGCGGUGAGAUUAGUCACUGGGAAGGCCUCUGGCCUCUGGCCAGGAACUUUUUCCAGCUAGUUUAACUGACGUUGCUGUAAUCAGGAGCACUUGAUAAGGACCAUCAAAUCUCGGUUCUAGGGUGUGUUUCCUGAGGAACUUCUUAACCAUAACCCAAUCACCUGGAAGCAGCUUGUGUGUACCUGUAUUCGACUCAGGAUCUGGAAUAGAAGAAAACACUUGGGCAUGUAUCUUGGUCAAGGCAUGUGAAAGGGCAGUCACAUAGUCUACCAUAGCGUCUGACUGAAUCUGAAGCUGUUGGGGAAAGUAGCAACCUAACCUGGGUGCUGUACCAAACAAAAUCUCAUAAGGUGACAAACUGUAUUUUCCUCUGGGAGUGUACCUUACACUGAAUAACGCUAGUGGGAGACUCUCGGGCCAGGGCAUGUUAGUUUCUUGUGACAUUUUAAGCAUUCUGGCUUUCAAAGUGCCAUUCAUGCGCUCUACCUUACCACUACUCUGUGGGUGAUAUGGUGUGUGGAAUGCAAGGGUCACCCCCAGUGCUGACCAGACUUCCCGUGUUAGCGAGGCAGUGAAGGAGGUCCCUUGGUCACUUUCAAUUACUUCUGGAACCCCAUAGCGGCAAACAAUUUCUGUCAAGAGAUAUUUGGCUGUAGUCCUCGCGGUGAGAUUAGUCACUGGGAAGGCCUCUGGCCAUCCUGAAAACAUGUCCACUAUGACCAAUGCAUAUUCAUAACGUCCACUCUUUGGCAUCUGAAUGUGAUCAAUCUGGAUCCUCUGAAAGGGAUAUUGCGGCUUGGCUAGGUGAUUAGGUGCAGUCUUUAUAAUCUUU